GACGAACGCUGGCGGCGUGCUUAACACAUGCAAUUCGAACGAUGAAGCUUGGUGCUUGCACUGGGUGGAUUAGUGGCGAACGGGUGAGUAACACGUGAGUAACCUGCCCUUUACUUCGGGAUAAGCUUGGGAAACUGGGUCUAAUACCGGAUAUUCUGCAUGGUCGGAUGGUUGUGUAGGAAAGAUUUUUUGGUAAGGGAUGGGCUCGCGGCCUAUCAGUUUGUUGGUGGGGUGAUGGCCUACCAAGACGACGACGGGUAGCCGGCCUGAGAGGGGGACCGGCCACACUGGGACUGAGACACGGCCCAGACUCCUACGGGAGGCAGCAGUGGGGAAUAUUGCACAAUGGGGGAAACCCUGAUGCAGCGACGCCGCGUGGGGGAUGACGGCCUUCGGGUUGUAAACCUCUUUCAGUAGGGAAGAAGCGAAAGUGACGGUACCUGCAGAAGAAGUACCGGCUAACUACGUGCCAGCAGCCGCGGUAAUACGUAGGGUACUAGCGUUGUCCGGAAUUAUUGGGCGUAAAGAGCUCGUAGGUGGUUUGUCGCGUCUGCUGUGGAAACGUGCCGCUUAACGGUGCGCGUGCAGUGGGUACGGGCGGACUAGAGUGCAGUAGGGGAGUCUGGAAUUCCUGGUGUAGCGGUGAAAUGCGCAGAUAUCAGGAGGAACACCGGUGGCGAAGGCGGGACUCUGGGCUGUUACUGACGCUGAGGAGCGAAAGCAUGGGGAGCGAACAGGAUUAGAUACCCUGGUAGUCCAUGCCGUAAACGUUGGGCACUAGGUGUGGGGUCCAUUCCACGGAUUCUGCGCCGUAGCUAACGCAUUAAGUGCCCCGCCUGGGGAGUACGGCCGCAAGGCUAAAACUCAAAGGAAUUGACGGGGGCCCGCACAAGCGGCGGAGCAUGCGGAUUAAUUCAAUGCAACGCGAAGAACCUUACCAAGGCUUGACAUGCACUAGACCAUCGCAGAGAUGUGGUUUUCUUUUUGACUGGUGUACAGGUGGUGCAUGGUUGUCGUCAGCUCGUGUCGUGAGAUGUUGGGUUAAGUCCCGCAACGAGCGCAACCCUCGUUCUAUGUUGCCAGCACGUGAUGGUGGGAACUCAUGGGAGACUGCCGGGGUCAACUCGGAGGAAGGUGGGAUGACGUCAAAUCAUCAUGCCCUUUAUGUCUUGGGCUUCACGCAUGCUACAAUGGCCGGUACAGAGGGUGGCGAUACCGUGAGGUGGAGCGAAUCUCUUAAAGCCGGUCUCAGUUCGGAUCGUAGUCUGCAACUCGACUACGUGAAGUCGGAGUCGCUAGUAAUCGCAGAUCAGCAAUGCUGCGGUGAAUACGUUCCCGGGCCU
rnacentral:rRNA from 1 species